rnacentral:tRNA from 1 species
GCCACGAGAAGCUGACAAGCAUUGGUCUUGUAAACCAAAGACAAGAAACUUCAACUUUCUCCAUGGCA